UACGGAGGAUGCGAGCGUUAUCCGGAUUUAUUGGGUUUAAAGGGUGCGUAGGCGGAUUAGUAAGUCAGCGGUGAAAUUUUGCAGCUUAACUGUAACAGUGCCGUUGAUACUGCCAGGCUAGGAUUUGGUUGCUGUGGGUGGAAUGUGUGGUGUAGUGGUGAAAUGCUUAGAUAUCACACAGAAUAUCGAUUGCGAAGGCAGCUCACAAAGCCAAGAUUGACGCUGAGGCACGAAAGUGUGGGGAUCAAACA
rnacentral:rRNA from 1 species